rnacentral:rRNA from 1 species
UACAGAGGGUGCAAGCGUUAAUCGGAAUUACUGGGCGAAAAGCGCACGCAGGCGGUUGGUUAAGUCAGAUGUGAAAGCCCCGGGCUCAACCUGGGAAUUGCAUUUGAAACUGGCCAACUAGAGUAUGUGAGAGGGGGGUAGAAUUCCAAGUGUAGCGGUGAAAUGCGUAGAGAUUUGGAGGAAUACCAGUGGCGAAGGCGGCCCCCUGGCACAAUACUGACGCUCAGGUGCGAAAGCGUGGGGAGCAAACAGG